UUCUUACCGACUGAGCAUUUGAUAUUGGUUGCUACCAUGGAUUAAUACGUACUAUUACCGCCAGGUCCAUUUGUAGUAGUUUUACAAUUGCUGCGGAUAGAUGACAGCAAAAUAAGUGCGUGACGUCAUACGCUGUGUACGUUGCCAACUUUCAGAGUUACCGAUCGGGUGUUCUAAUGUUAUAUAGGUGACAAAGAGUGUUUUGUUAAAACUGUUUCUAAUUUACGCUAAUUUCAGUUGAAUUGUGUUGGGCAUGUUGUAUUUUUAAAGAGUAGAUAAAUAUGUUUCAUAUAUUUGAUGCUGGGUUUGUGGUGGUUUUUGUGAUUGUUUGAAUGUUUUACAAAACAGAAGGAGAUUUUCUAGUUUUGUGGAUUCCUUCAUUGCUGAUACUUCUACAUCUGGUCAGUGAAGAACACGCCAAGGCAUUGACCUCAUAAUAAAUCAUUGUGUCAUUUUAAUGCUACUUACAAGGAGAUACCGACCUGCUUUCCAAAGAAAAGAUCUUGCGGUGUAAUGCUAUCUUCAUGAGUCAGAUGUAGGCUGUUGGGCAUUUUAAGAGACAA